GGUGAACGCUGGCGGCGUGCUUAAGACAUGCAAGUCGAACGCAGUCUUCGGACUGAGUGGCGCACGGGUGUGUAACACGUAACUGACCUACCCCCAAGUCGCGGAUAACUGGCCGAAAGGUCAGCUAAUACGUGAUGUGAUGUCCCCUUUCUGGGGGGCCAUUAAAGGUUUACUGCUUGGGGAUGGGGUUGCGUUCCAUCAGCUAGUUGGCGGGGUAAAGGCCCGCCAAGGCAACGACGGAUAGCCGGCCUGAGAGGGUGGCCGGCCACAGGGGCACUGAGACACGGGUCCCACUCCUACGGGAGGCAGCAGUUAGGAAUCUUCCACAAUGGGCGAAAGCCUGAUGGAGCGACGCCGCGUGAGGGAUGAAGGUUCUCGGAUCGUAAACUUCUGAAUCAGGGACGAAAGACGCGUAAGCGGGAUGACGGUACCUGAGUAAUAGCACCGGCUAACUCCGUGCCAGCCGCCGCCGUAA
rnacentral:rRNA from 1 species